rnacentral:rRNA from 1 species
UACGUAGGCAGCAAGCGUUGUUCGGAGUUACUGGGCGUAAAGGGUGUGUAGGCGGUUGUUUAAGUUUGGUGUGAAAUCUCCCGGCUCAACUGGGAGGGUGCGCCGAAUACUGAAUGACUAGAGUGCGGGAGAGGUGAGUGGAAUUCCUGGUGUAGCGGUGAAAUGCGUAGAUAUCGUAAGGAAGACCAGUGGCGAAGGCGGGUCUCUGGACAGUUCCUGACGCUGAGGCACGAAGGCCAGGGGAGCAAACGGG